UUCAUUUUAAAGUCUUUUAAUUACCCAAAGAUAUGAAUAAUGCCCACAAAAAAUUCUUAAUGGCAACAGUUUUUUGUGUGUCAUCUUUUAUUUACGCUGAGUAACAUUUUUUGGUCAUUUUGAUUUAUGAGCCGCCACCGCAAAAGUCGGAAGUUGUCGGACACAUCGAAAAAAGGAGCCACCAUCGAGCCGUCAAGGACCUUGGAUUAGGUCUGAUGUGGGUGGUGUUUUGCUUUUGUUUUACACAGCCCGAUAUGGUUGUUGGCGACAACUUGUCAGACAUGUUUUUUUUCCAUUGGAUUUUUGUUUAAUUCUAAUCGAAGGACCUGUUAUUAACCACCACUACAAUGGAGCAUACGUGUUAUCAGAAUUUAAGGACUUUAAUUAAGGGUGUUAAUUGUUUAAUCCUUUUAUCUCUGUUACAGCCAUCACAAACGUUAAACAAUUUCCAUAUCAUUUUGCACACUGACUCUGACUCAGGCGGCAGAAAAUGUUGCGUUUUCUCAAGAAUCGUUAGACAAUGUGUCUGUCCAGGUUUAGUUGUUGAACCGCCCAUCUAUCUACUUAUAUAUAUAUAUAUAUAUGCAACAAAACAAACAUCCAUAUAUAUGUGUACUUAGCUGUAUCUCUUGGUGUUAUCAAUUGGUGUUAAGGUCCUUACGUGCCUGGCCUCUCUAAUUGUGCCUAAUCACCGUUAAUGACGCCGUCGCUCUGUAAAACAUAAUAAAUACACAUGUAACCAACGAACAUACGGGAAACGGGCAAAAUGUAUCUAGAAUCUUGAUGGUUUUGCCACUGACGUUUUCCCCUUGAA